UACAGAGGUCUCGAGCGUUGUUCGGAUUCAUUGGGCGUAAAGGGUGCGUAGGUGGCGCUGUAAGUCGGGUGUGAAAUCCUGAGGCUUAACCUCGGAACUGCAUUCGAUACUGCGGCGCUUGAGGACUGGAGAGGAGACUGGAAUUUACGGUGUAGCGGUGAAAUGCGUAGAUAUCGUAAGGAAGACCAGUGGCGAAGGCGGGUCUCUGGACAGUUCCUGACGCUGAGGCACGAAGGCCAGGGGAGCAAACGGG
rnacentral:rRNA from 1 species